UGAACCCCAUGUCUUUAUGAAAGCCCAAUAUGAAACAGUUAAAGCAGGUUAUUAAUAAAAUCCUGGAAGGAGUGAGAGGGUGCAGUCGGGCGUUCUGAAGCCUGGCUUCCUUAGCAUUUCUCUCAUCCUCUUCUAGCAACAGAUGGCACUGAAGAACCCUUAGAAUUCCCUGGAGCAGUUUUAAAACCACCAAUCUAAUCCAACCUCUUAAUUCUGCAGAUGGGAAACAUCAUGUGCAUAAAAACUACUAAGGAACUUGCCCAAGGCCACAACAAAACCCCUACCAAAAGUCUGACUUUUCAUCUUCUACUCUGAUGGUUUUUAGAUGUUUAUUCAACACAUAUUUACUGUGUCUAAUUAUGCCAGGCACUGUUCUAGAUGCUAGGGCUAUAGGAUGUGGGUAAACUAAGUCCCUGCUUUCAUGAAGCUUACAUUCUAAGUGGACAGAUUAUAGCAUAAACAAAUGUGUAACGUGGUAUCAUAUAGCAAUAAAGACUACGAAAACACACGAAGCCAGGUAAAAGUGAAGGGGUCCUAUUUUAGAUAAGAUAGUCAAGGAAGGCCCUCCUGAGGAGAUAACAUUUGAGCAGAAACCUGAAUGGAGGGAAGAAGACAUGCAGGCAUCUGGAGGGAGAAGUUUCUAAGGCAGAGGCCCUGAGACUGGAUGUGCUUAGUAUGCUCAAGGAGUAGCAAGGGGAGGGUCAGAGUGGCCAAAGCAGAAUAUGAAAAGUAAGAAAAGGUGAAGGGAGAGGUAGCCAAGUACUAUUACAUCAUAAAGGGCCUUCUGACUGCUGUAAAAAGCUUUUAACACAAAUACGAUGGAAAGCCACCAGAGAUGUAUGAGUGGAGACAGGCACAAUCUGACUUAUAUUUGAAAUGGAUUGCUCUGGCACUGCGGACAGAAAACUGUGUGUAUGUGUGUUCAUCUGUGUUGCGGAGUAGAUGAGGAGAAACAGCAAGUAGUGGCAGGGAGAUCAACUGGGAGGCUACUGAAGCCAUCCAUAGAAGAAAAGCUGGUGGUCUGGACAAGGUGUUAGUUGAAUGAAGGAAGGAAGGAAAAACUGAGUUGAGAAUUACUUCAAGGUGUUUGGCUUGACCAUUGAGAAACGUAUUUUCUCACAGUCCUGGAGGCUGGAGUCAGAGAUCAGGGUGCCAGCCUGGCUGGGUUCUGGUGGGGGCCCUCUUCCAGGCUUGCUCAUGACUGCCUUCUCUCACUGUGUCUCUCCCGUUGUUUGAGCCACAAAAUCUGUGGUAUUUUAUUAUCACAACCUGAGCUGCCUAGACAGGAUGUUAAGACUAGAUGAUCCGGGGAUCUCUUUUGGCUCCAAUAUUGCACAAUUUGAUGUAAUAUUUGAUAAUUUCUGUCUAAUUUUGUAAAAUUUCAUGCUAGCAAUGGAACUAAAGAAGUCUUUGUUUUAGAAUAUCCUUCUGAGAGUUAGGAAUGUAGAUCCAGGCUCCUUGGCUGUUUAGCAUCUCAGGCUGCAUUGUGAUAAGGAAGCAGACAGAAGAACUGGUAUCAAAGCCAAGUGUUUAUCCAAAUUCUACAUUAAGAAUAUAACGUUUUCAGUGAAGGUUUUUGUAGAUGUGAAAAAAGAGUACAUGUGAAAAGUAAGAAAAAGAAAGCCAACAACUGAAAUCUUCCAGGAUAACACCAAAAAAAGUGUUCCAACCUUGGCUUGGCUACAUGGAACACAGAAGGCAUCUACCAUGGUACCAAGGCAUGAAACAGAUGAGCCAGGACUCCCCAGCCCUUCAAUCAGCAGGUGGGCUGCAGCCACACAAAGGCUCACCACCUGAGGAACGACGUCUUGGCUGCAGGGUAACUUACUGAGUGUGGAUGAGCACGUGCUGCUUGAGGUCCUGCCUCCGCAUAAACAACUUGUCACAGUAAUCACACUUAAGAUUCUUCUCCCCAGUGUGGAUAACCAUGUGGGACUCCAGGUGAGCCUUCUGGGUGAAAGACUUGUCACACAAGGUACACCUGUAGUUCUUCUGACCUGCAAUCAGCCCAAAGUAUUACACCGUGAAGAAAACAACUGCUGGCAUCCCCAAGACACACAGGCACACAUAUGUGCAUGCAGCAGAGGCAGGAAUGAAACAGAGCUGACUGGGUCUUGCUCAGUAGCUGCAAGCUGGAGUGCAGUGGCGUGAUCACAGCUGACUGCUGCCUCUACCUCCUAGGCUCAUGAGAUCUUCCCACCUCAGCCCCCAAGCAGCUGGGACCACAGGCAAGUGCCACCAUGCCUGGCUAAUUUGUUUUUAUUUUGCAGAGAUGGGGUCUCCCUAUGUUGCCCAGGCUGGAGGUAGGUAUUAUUCUUAAUCCCACUUUAAAGAUGAGGAAACUUAAGAUUCAAUGAUGCUAGGAAACUUAACCCAGAAUCACAUAACCAGUAAGGAGAGCUGGGAUUUAAAUUCAGAACUAAUUUAAGAAACCAAAGCUCUUAACUAUAGUAAGAAAAAGACAAUUACAAUAAAAGAACUAUAUUGCCUUUUACACAGUUGCAAUACAUUAGGGCCUAUCUACUUAUAUUGUGGCGUAUAUUUAAAGUUCCACAUAGACCUGUUUCUUGCAUUAUUAGGUUUCACCCUUAUCCCUGGCCAUGGAUCCCAUAAAACUAAGCUCUAAGACAUCAAUAAAAUGUAAAAGGCCAACCUAGUACCUUGUAUAGAACAGACAUUCUGAAUUUUCUUAUUUUAUCGGAUGGAGCUAUGCAAACUCAUCACCCUUACCAGAAAGACAGCUAGAAGCACCUGGCAAAUGAGGUACACCUUAUGAAGAACAGCAUGCUAAUAACAGUUUUUAUUAUGCUAUAAAAUAAAGCAGCCCAGGUGUGGUGAUUUACACCUGUAAUCCCACACUUUGGGAGGCCAAGGCAGAAGGAUCGCUUGAGCCCAGGACUUGGAGACGUCCCUAGGCAACACAGUGAGACCCCUGUCUCUACUAAACAUUUUUUUUAACUUAGCCAGGCAUGGUGGUUCGUGCUUGUGGUUCCAACUACAGGGGAGGCUGAAGUGGGGAGGUCGGGGCUACAGUGAGCUCUGCCUGUACCUCUACACGCCAGCUGGGGUGACAGAGUGAGACUGUGUCUUAAAAACAAAAAAAGCAAAAAAUCCCUGUAGCCUAAAGAAAACAUAUCUACCUUAAUUUUGAAAGUUGCUGGGCUUGAGUUGGUUUAAAACAGACUUUUCCCUAACUCUUUAUAGCUACAACCAUAAUUAAAACACUACAAUCACUACAGCUGUAACAGCCUACUUAACAAAUUGGUUACAAUAUUUUUUUAAAAGUACAACUACAAGUCUGCACCUUCAACUCUCAUUCUGAAAAUUCCUGAAUAUUUAUUUAAUUUCAAGAUAAAAAUCAGCAUGGUGUUUCUAGGUUGACUCCUAGGCCUUCUCAAACCAGUUCAAACCAGAGUUUAAUGCGAGAGGCUCAGCAGAUUUCUGCUUUGUUGUGAGUCACUAAAACGUGAUGACCUCAGCAGCCAUAAACCAAAGGUAAUGAGUAUCCCACAGAGAGAAGGCAGAUGAAGGGAAUGUACAAUAUGAUCCUCAUAAGACUUUCUCAUUCUAAAAUGCAGUUCUAUUCUCAUUUUCUUUCUCCUAUGAGAUUCUAAGAAGCAAUCCCGGAAGAAGGCAAGAAUCAAGAUACUAAGCUCUAUCUUCCCUACUCAUUUAGGGUAAAAUAAUUUCCUACACAGUUCUACAGUUUAUGUGUGUGUUUCUAACUGACCUAUGCAACCAUCUGCCAGUUGCUGAUUUUACACCUUUUUCUUCGCAUAAAAUAUAAUAAACUAACUGAAAUGCAGCCACUUUGAAAAAUGCAGUGGGGCUUCAAUAAUUUCAAUGAAUUUGUGCCUUAUCUUCCUUAUUCUAAACAUACGGCCUUUGAAAGGGCCUUGAAAAAACAGCCAAAU
rnacentral:lncRNA from 1 species